rnacentral:rRNA from 1 species
GACGAACGCUGGCGGCGUGCUUAACACAUGCAAGUCGAACGGAAAGGCCUGCUUUCCCUUGUGGAUUGCGGGUACUCGAGUGGCGAACGGGUGAGUAACACGUGAGUGAUCUGCCCCCAACUUGGGUAUAAGCCUGGUAAACUGGGUCUAAUUCCCGAUAGGACUGCAGGGUGGUGCCUGUGGUGGAAAACGAUUUUCUAGUGGUUGGGGAUGAGCUCGCGGCCUAUCAGCUUGUUGGUGGGGUAAUGGCCUACCAAGGCGGCGACGGGUAGCCGGCCUGAGAGGGUGGACGGCAACAUUGGGACUGAGAUACGGCCCAGACUCCUACGGGAGGCAGCAGUGGGGAAUAUUGCACAAUGGGCGGAAGGCUGAUGCAGCGACGCAGCGUGGGGGAUGACGGCCUUCGGGUUGUAAACUCCUUUCGACCGCGAGGAAGCCACCUGGUUGGAAGGGUGGUGACGGUAGUGGUAGAAGAAGCACCGGCUAACUACGUG